UGGACUCCACUUGAUGUAACAUGUAUUAUGCCGGAGACCUUAUUCGGUAAUUAAUACAUGGUUUAGCCUUGAUCUUCGGGUCGGGGCGCUUCAUGGUCCGGCUCCGGGUCCCCUCCAUGAGCUCCAAGCUCGCCGCCGCGGGUGCGGACCCAACCUUGCGAAUCACACUGGAUGGACCCCACCCAACCUUGCGAAUCACACCGGAUGGACCCCACUGCAGAGGCACAUUGCCUUGGGUGCAGGGACAUCAUGACCUACCUCCACGUGCACCACCUCACCGCCGGGAACAAGCUCUGCCGUCGGGCACCAUGCUCUCCAGCGCGCUGCGUCUGGUCUAGGAUUUCUACCGCGAGGGACACUUCCACUUCGAGAGCUCCAUUGUGCCACUGCCUUGGCGCGUGGUGCCCGCUGACACCUAUCACCUAGGGAUACGCCAAAGUAGGAGAUUGUUUGGUGAGGGAUCGCCAGAUCUAGAACUUGAAAGUAAGCGCGAAGACACAAGACACAAAUUUUGGCAGUUUGGGCCGGCAAAGUAGCGUAAUACCCUACAUUCCAUGUUGUGGUUCAUAUAUUGUGCCCUGCACUUGAGUUGCUUAUUGGCUGCGUCUCCUUAUGAUUUACUCCAUUGAUGUCAACACCCAAGCGUCCUGCACUUGGGUGUUGAGUUUCUUAUUGGCCGGCAAAGUAGCGUAAUACCCUACGUCCCGUACGAUGUCAAUACAGUACAUGAUAAUAACGUUGAUCAUCAGCUUGUACUCCAUUUUUUAAUCGAGCUUUUACUCCAUUGGUUUAGUGUCAUUCGGUUGGCUCUUUGCGCGUAUUAUUUUUUCUUUCAAAUAUAGUACACACAUAAUAAACACUUAUGCAUAAUUGUAUAUGCAUGCACACUUAUCCAUCACACUCUAACACAUCGAGUAACUCGAGCGCAUCCUACAAUUCCUACUACAAUUUCCCUUAAAAAUCAAAUUUGGGAUGUGAAGAGCAAAAAUCACCCUCCCAAUUGUCAUAAAGCAUGCCCCAUAUCAGCAAACCCGGUAUCAUUAGUACAAAAAUGGUUUGUGAUGAAUGGAUUUAUAUGUUGAUACAUCUAUGUUGACGGUGAGCAGCUCAUAUCAGUUAUCUCCUUACAAAUGUGUUCACUGUUCCUCCAACCAGUUCACACCAUAUCAGCCACCACGACAUCGUGCUGCACAUUGCGAAUGACAUCAUGUGCAAGGUGUUGCUUUUUGUUCUAUGAUACAAACAUUUAAUUUAUCAUCUUUUGGCAUGCCGUGGUGACUGUUUUACUUGGCGAGGUUCUACAAGAGGAUUGGGGCCACUGCUUCAUGUUUGACAAUAUAAUCACAAAAAAUGACGUUCCAGAAUGCGAUGAAGAUGACAAUUGGAUCAGCUCCCUCAGGCAGAAGUAAUGUUCCAAACCCUAAUGCUAUGGAGGACCUCUUCUACACACUGGCGGGAUUUGAAGAUCAAGUCAGACAACCCAAAACAACGUGACAACCAGAGAGAUUGUGGAUUCUUCUACACUCAUGGGCAAAAUUGUCUGAGCACAUGAAGGUGCAGAAGUGGAGAAUGAUGGCAUUGGACAGUGCCCUGCCAAUGUAGGUUGAGUUCUUGUCCCUUGAUUUCUCAAAAAUGACAGUGGGUAAUUUGAUUGAGCCAAAGUAAUGCUUUGAAAGCUCAAGGUGGACCAGAUCAACUGAAGAGGUGCUUUGAGGAGGGAAGAUUGAGGACCACCUUGAGUGAACUCACCUUUAUGGAGCCAGCUGCAUAUGAUUGGUACGAGGAGGAGGAAGGGGAUUAGAAAUGAAGCAAGGGGAAGGCUGAGGAAUAGGAGGAUGUAGGAUGCUAGGAAUGGAGCAAGCAACAUAAGUUGGAAGAAGAGGAGGCAGAGAAGGAGGAAGGAGAUUAGGAAUUUCUUUCCUACUUAAACUAAAACUUCAAAAUCAUUUGGAUCCUUGUGUGUAUCUAAAUAUAUAAAAAUACUUAGUUUAGUCAUAUUCUUAUUGCUAAAUAUCAAGGUGUCAAUACCACUAUUAUUUGGAUAUCCUUUGUUAUGACAUAUAACCUAGAAAACAUCAAAUAGUACUUAGAGUUUUGGACACUAUAUGUUGAUGAUAUGUUAUGCGUUGCACUUUAAUUAUGAGACUACAAAGAUUGUUGCCACUAUAAUGUUUAUUCCAUUGCUCUAUAACAGUUUCUCAAAAUUGUAUAUUUACUCAUGGUUUCACGAUUUAUUUUGGAUACAGUU